rnacentral:rRNA from 1 species
AUUGAACGCUGGCGGCAGGCUUAACACAUGCAAGUCGAGCGGAGAUGAGGUGCUUGCACCUUAUCUUAGCGGCGGACGGGUGAGUAAUGCUUAGGAAUCUGCCUAUUAGUGGGGGACAACAUUCCGAAAGGAAUGCUAAUACCGCAUACGUCCUACGGGAGAAAGCAGGGGAUCUUCGGACCUUGCGCUAAUAGAUGAGCCUAAGUCGGAUUAGCUAGUUGGUGGGGUAAAGGCCUACCAAGGCGACGAUCUGUAGCGGGUCUGAGAGGAUGAUCCGCCACACUGGGACUGAGACACGGCCCAGACUCCUACGGGAGGCAGCAGUGGGGAAUAUUGGACAAUGGGGGGAACCCUGAUCCAGCCAUGCCGCGUGUGUGAAGAAGGCUUUAUGGUUGUAGAGCACUUUAAGCGAGGAGGAGGCUACUGAGACUAAUACUCUUGGAUAGUGGACGUUACUCGCAGAAUAAGCACCGGCUAACUCUGUGCCAGCCGCCGCCGUAAUAC